GGGUGAGUAACACGUGGGUGAUCUGCCUCGCACUCUGGGAUAAGCCUGGGAAACUGGGUCUAAUACCGGAUAUGACCUUACAUCGCAUGGUGUUUGGUGGAAAGAUUUAUCGGUGCGAGAUGGGCCCGCGGCCUAUCAGCUUGUUGGUGGGGUAAUGGCCUACCAAGGCGACGACGGGUAGCCGGCCUGAGAGGGCGACCGGCCACACUGGGACUGAGACACGGCCCAGACUCCUACGGGAGGCAGCAGUGGGGAAUAUUGCACAAUGGGCGAAAGCCUGAUGCAGCGACGCCGCGUGAGGGAUGACGGCCUUCGGGUUGUAAACCUCUUUCGACAGGGACGAAGCGCAAGUGACGGUACCUGUAGAAGAAGCACCGGCCAACUACGUGCCAGCAGCCGCGGUAAUACGUAGGGUGCGAGCGUUGUCCGGAAUUACUGGGCGUAAAGAGCUUGUAGGCGGCUUGUCGCGUCGAUCGUGAAAACUUGGGGCUCAACCCCAAGCUUGCGGUCGAUACGGGCAGGCUUGAGUACUUCAGGGGAGACUGGAAUUCCUGGUGUAGCGGUGAAAUGCGCAGAUAUCAGGAGGAACACCGGUGGCGAAGGCGGGUCUCUGGGAAGUAACUGACGCUGAGAAGCGAAA
rnacentral:rRNA from 1 species